CCUCCGUAAGUAUACCCAUGUACUUUUCAGAAAGUCGAUUGACCCUGCUAGAUCUAUGAGAUGGUGGAGAAACAUCAACUACUGACUUAUGAAUAAUAGGUUCCUGAGGAUCCAUAGCUCUUUGCUCUUCAAAGACCUUCUCUUCAAGCUCAACUAACCUCCUACUACCACCAUUCUGGAUAAAUUAUUUUUCUAAAAAUAUAGCGUUUUGACUCACAAUCACAUUGUGAUCUUAUGAAAAGUAGAAGUAGUAUCCC
rnacentral:lncRNA from 1 species